CGCGCUCGUCGGGUCCGCGCGCGCGUUCGAAAGACGGAGCGUAUUUCGCGUUCCGUGCGCGUGCCUGUCUUCUUCCUACUUUCGUGCGUGCGUGCGUGCGUCGUGCGUGUUUACGCGUUUUCCUCGUCGCCUGACGCAACGGAGAUCCGCCACUGGAGUGUCUACCGCGCGGAGUGUUCACGCAGCGCGGGAGAUCGCGCGUGUACCGAAACGCCGAACGACGACCACGACGACGACGACAACGACGACGACGACGACAGGGAGAUACCGGUACUAUGAGGUCGCACGAAUGGAUGCGUGAGACAUUCCGAAGCAGAUUCGAAGGCACUGGUACGUUCCAGCCAAAUGAAUGGACGCGUGGAAGAGCUCGAUACGAAUCUAAAGCGCGGUGAAGGAUGAUUGUCGAGGGAAAGAUAAUAAGAGUAAGAUGACGUCGCUGCCGAUUGGAUGUUACAGCGACAAGAUGACACAAUAAUUAUAGUUAUUUCUGCGAAAGUAUUAUGUUACGGGAGGAGGAUCAGUGUCAGCUUACCAAUCAAUGUUGAAAAACGAAUUCUAGAAUCGGCGGUCAGUUCGGAAUUUGAGGAUAUAACCGACAUUCUCCGCGGCGAUAACCAACGAGUAAAUUGAUACUCGAUAUACUCGAGAGGAGUGCGAAGACAUGCCUGAGUCCGAUCCCAGUGUCUGGCACGUAAAUGUUAAUAACAUCCGUCGAUCAAUUACGCCCAUCCCCACGAUUUCUUAAUCGUUGCUUGAUUAAUA